AUGGUGCCACUUCCCACCCUUCAGAAUCACUUUGUCAUUUCCUCCGGGACUCUCACUGUAAUUCUUUUAUAGUUUGUUUCUUUUACCAGCAACUACAGAAUUGCAGUGUUGGGGCUCAGGACUGCCCUACAAACGUGCACAGCACAAGGUCCAGAACCACUUCAAAUUCCAGAAAGCUGCAGAACAGGGAUAGCUCAGGCGACCCAUUUUUUCACAAGUGUAAUCUCAAAGUCUACAAAACUAAAGUGUCAUUCCAAGAAGAACGAUCUUAAUUUUUGUGGUGAUUUUUCAUGGGAGGCAUUUACGGAAGUGAUGCAAAGCUUCCAUCCCCUGGAAAGCUGCACACACCUCUGUGAAAAACACAUGUUAAAGACAUAAGAAACAGGGGAACUUCUUUCCCUUCUGGCCAGCAACCAGGUAGGUACCACAGCUGGCCCGGCCCCUGUCUCGGGCAGGCCGGGCCGAGCCGCCCCUGCCGUGGGCCGGGCCCCCUGCUCGGGGCGCCCCCCACAGCGGUGCCGGGCAGGGAGAGGGGAGUGCCGCGGGGCCGGGCCGGGCCACGGCUGCGCUCUCUACGGUCCUAUUGCCGCUCAACCCUGCCCUGCCGCCGGCCCGGGGCCGAGCCGGCUCCGCCGGGCCCAAGAGCAGCCCCGGGCCGGGCCGGCUCGGCCGAGAUUCCAUCGCCGCUGGGCUUCGCCCGCAACCACCGGGCCGGGGAGAGGAGACGCCAUCGGGCCCCAGCCGCAGCUCCGGCUGCGAGCACCGAGCCCGGGCAGCGACAGGGAACCGUCUGCAGGCCCCGGGGGAGACACGAACUCUUGCAGUGCUCCCAUCCUACCUCGGGUGAGAGCAGGAACAAGAACGCCAACAAUGUAGAGGAGCAACAUGAAGACACUGAGGAUAGCAUGGAGAGAUGAAGGGUUCAAACUGACAUCGAGCAAAUGCCUCCAUGCCAAAGUAAGCAGGUGAUGAAGUAGUUGUGCUCCAUGGGAAGUUUGAGCAGAGGGAGAGAAGAGUGAUGAAGACCCUGUGUCCCCAGGGAGAGAGAUAAGAAGAAGAAGUUCCCAGAGAUGAAGAUUAUUUUAGAGAUAGAUAAUGAGAACCUUUGCCUUUGAACAGCUCAUUUUAAAAACAGCUCAUAAGUUGACAUGGACCAUAAACACAGCUGUGGGAAAAGCUUGUGGAAAAUGGGAGGGAUUUCACGAUUGCAGAUUUCCCCGGGCGGCUGCUAUUUGCAAAGAGAGCCAUGAGAGAACUGUUUUCUUGUGGAGAAGUCUCCAUAACAUUUACAAGAGGGGCUUCUCUCCCUAAGUGAACUGAAGAAAGACUAUUCUGGACGUGGUAAACUGAAAUUUUAGGUUUUGUUUCUUUACAUUGUCAUUGGAAAAGAAAAGGUUGUGGGGGGAAGACAAGUGUCCUGAAGUUUCUGAUUCUUAUUACUCAUUCUUUUAGUUAUUGUUAAUAAAUUUUUCUUUAUACCCUUUUAAA